UGACACAGGACAAGUGGAAGAGACACUGAAGAAUUUCAAGUCAUUUCAUUGUAGAAUUGAUAAAAGAAGACAAUUCAUGAAACUCUGAAAGUUUGUGCUGUAACACUGGAACCUCAGGUCAAGUCUAGUACAUGAUCUACAAAUACAUCACUGAGAAGAGAGAUGAUGCUGAACUGAUUUAGUUUCAUCACUCACCUACAGAUGAUGCAAAGAAAUACAGUACACUCUGGAUACCUGGUGGAAAAAUGAAUGAACUAAGAGCAUGUCAUUCUACUUUUCAAACUGAAAGACUGAGGAAGAAGAGGAGGAAGGAAGGGAGGAAGGAAGCUAAUAUUUGACGUGGAGAAUCUGAAGGCUCCAACAUGACUGGCCACAUGGACAAGAAAGUGUGCAAGAGAACUCUUUAGUUCAUGUUUCUAACUGGUGUGCAUGGAAGAAAGCUGUGGCUAACAGACUGUCAUUGCCCUUGCAAAACACUGCAGUAGAAAACUUUACAACCAUGUCUUCUUUCCCUGCAUUCAACUGGAGACGAGCUGGUUUUGAAAGCAUGGUGUAA
rnacentral:lncRNA from 1 species